GCCGCAUGGCCCGGUGUGAAAAACUCCGGUGGUGUAAGAUGGACCCGCGUCUGAUUAGCUUGUUGGCGGGGUAGAGGCCCACCAAGGCGACGAUCAGUAGCCGGCCUGAGAGGGUGGACGGCCACAUUGGGACUGAGACACGGCCCAAACUCCUACGGGAGGCAGCAGUGGGGGAUAUUGGACAAUGGGGGAAACCCUGAUCCAGCGACGCCGCGUGAGUGAAGAAGUAUUUCGGUAUGUAAAGCUCUGUCAGCAGGGAAGAAAGAAAUGACGGCACCUGACCAAGAAGCCCCGGCUAACUACGUGCCAGCAGCCGCGGUAAUACGUAGGGGGCAAGCGUUAUCCGGAAUUACUGGGUGUAAAGGGAGCGUAGACGGUGAUGCAAGUCUGGAGUGAAAGGCGGGGGCCCAACCCCCGGACUGCUCUGGAAACUGUGUAACUUGAGUGCAGGAGAGGUAAGCGGAAUUCCUAGUGUAGCGGUGAAAUGCGUAGAUAUUAGGAGGAACACCAGUGGCGAAGGCGGCUUACUGGACUGUAACUGACGUUGAGGCUCGAAAGCGUGGGGAGCAAACAGGAUUAGAUACCCUGGUAGUCCACGCCGUAAACGAUGAUUACUAGGUGUCGGGG
rnacentral:rRNA from 1 species